rnacentral:rRNA from 1 species
AUUGAACGCUGGCGGCAGGCCUAACACAUGCAAGUCGAGCGGAUGAAGGGAGCUUGCUCCUGGAUUCAGCGGCGGACGGGUGAGUAAUGCCUAGGAAUCUGCCUGGUAGUGGGGGAUAACGUCCGGAAACGGGCGCUAAUACCGCAUACGUCCUGAGGGAGAAAGUGGGGGAUCUUCGGACCUCACGCUAUCAGAUGAGCCUAGGUCGGAUUAGCUAGUUGGUGGGGUAAAGGCCUACCAAGGCGACGAUCCGUAACUGGUCUGAGAGGAUGAUCAGUCACACUGGAAGUGAGACACGGUCCAGACUCCUACGGGAGGCAGCAGUGGGGAAUAUUGGACAAUGGGCGAAAGCCUGAUCCAGCCAUGCAGCGUGUGUGAAGAAGGUCUUCGGAUUGUAAAGCACUUUAAGUUGGGAGGAAGGGCAGUAAGUUAAUACCUUGCUGUUUUGACGUUACCAACAGAAUAAGCACCGGCUAACUUCGUG